GUAUUGAAAAUAAUGAAUUAAAAUUUUUACUAGCACAAACUAGGAGCUGUCAAAAUGAAUAAUCAAAAAUUCGCGCUAAAUAUUUUCAAUAGUCAAAUAC